AGUAGCUUGCUACUUUGCCGGCGAGCGGCGGACGGGUGAGUAAUGUCUGGGAAACUGCCUGAUGGAGGGGGAUAACUACUGGAAACGGUAGCUAAUACCGCAUGACCUCGYAAGAGCAAAGUGGGGGACCUUCGGGCCUCACGCCAUCGGAUGUGCCCAGAUGGGAUUAGCUAGUAGGUGAGGUAAUGGCUCACCUAGGCGACGAUCCCUAGCUGGUCUGAGAGGAUGACCAGCCACACUGGAACUGAGACACGG
rnacentral:rRNA from 1 species